AACGCUGGCGGCAGGCCUAACACAUGCAAGUCGAGCGGUAACAGGGGUAGCUUGCUACCCGCUGACGAGCGGCGGACGGGUGAGUAAUGCAUAGGAAUCUGCCCGAUAGUGGGGGAUAACCUGGGGAAACCCAGGCUAAUACCGCAUACGUCCUACGGGAGAAAGGGGGCUCCGGCUCCCGCUAUUGGAUGAGCCUAUGUCGGAUUAGCUAGUUGGUGAGGUAAUGGCUCACCAAGGCAACGAUCCGUAGCUGGUCUGAGAGGAUGAUCAGCCACAUCGGGACUGAGACACGGCCCGAACUCCUACGGGAGGCAGCAGUGGGGAAUAUUGGACAAUGGGCGAAAGCCUGAUCCAGCCAUGCCGCGUGUGUGAAGAAGGCCCUCGGGUUGUAAAGCACUUUCAGCGAGGAAGAACGCCUAGUGGUUAAUACCCAUUAGGAAAGACAUCACUCGCAGAAGAAGCACCGGCUAACUCCGUGCCAGCAGCCGCGGUAAUACGGAGGGUGCAAGCGUUAAUCGGAAUUACUGGGCGUAAAGCGCGCGUAGGUGGCUUGAUAAGCCGGUUGUGAAAGCCCCGGGCUCAACCUGGGAACGGCAUCCGGAACUGUCAAGCUAGAGUGCAGGAGANGAAGGUAGAAUUCCCGGUGUAGCGGUGAAAUGCGUAAAGAUCGGGAGGAAUACCAGUGGCGAAGGCGGCCUUNUGGACUGACACUGACACUGAGGUGCGAANGCGUGGGUAGCAAACAGGAUUANAUACCCUGGUAGUCCNNCCGUAAACNAUGU
rnacentral:rRNA from 1 species